CGUGAACGCUGGCGGUAGGCCUAACACAUGCAAGUCGAACGAGUGGCGGCCGGGUGAGGAAUAAAUCGGAAUCUACUCUGUCGCGGGGGAUAACGCAGGGAAACUUACGCUAAUACCGCAUACGUUUGAAUGAGCCGAUGGGGGAUUAGCUAGUGGGGGGGGUAAAGGCUCACAAAGGCGACGAUCCGUAGCUGGUCUGAGAGGAUGAGCAGGAACACGGGAACUGAGACACGGGCCAGAGGUCUAAGGGAGGCAGCAGUGGGGAAUAUUGGACAAUGGGCGAAAGCCUGAUCCAGCCAUGCCGCGUGGGUGAAGAAGGCCUUCGGGUUGGAAAGCCCUUUUGUUGGGAAAGCGGUACCCAAAGAAGAAGCACCGGCUAACUCCGUGCCAGCAGCCGCGGUAAUAC
rnacentral:rRNA from 1 species